rnacentral:misc_RNA from 1 species
GAUGAAGAACGUAGCGAAAUGCGAUAAGUAAUGUGAAUUGCAGAAUUCAGUGAAUCAUCGAAUCUUUGAACGCAUCUUGCGCUCCUUGGUAUUCUGAGGAGCAUGCCUGUUUGAGUGUCAUUAAAUUCUCAACUACACUGACUUUGAAUUGGUGUGGCUUGGAUUUGGGGGGAAAAUUGUUGUGGGCUUUUUGUAUAGUCUGCUCCCCUGAAAUUGAUUAGCGGUACCUUUGUGGAACUGUCUACAGGUGUGAUAAUUAUCUACAUCUUAGACAUCUGCUGGAAUGCUGCUUUCUAAACCUUACUUGUAUUGACAAUCUUGACCUCAAAUCAGGUAGGACUACCCGCUGAACUUAAGCAUACCAAUAAGCGGAGGA